UACAUAUAUGUUAUUUACCGGCUGCGAGGUCCGGAUGAGAAAAACUGUGCCCGAGGUCUUGAAAACGGCCCGAGCCCGAAGGGCGAGGGACGUUUUCAAGACAGAGGGCACAGUUUUUCUCAUCCGGACCGACGCUGCCGGUAAAUAACGUGUUUAUU